UACGUAGGGGGCUAGCGUUGUCCGGAUUUAUUGGGCGUAAAGAGCGUGUAGGCGGCCAGAUAGGUCUGCUGUGAAAACUCGAGGCUCAACCUCGAGCUGUCGGCGGAAACCAUCCGGCUAGAGUCCGGAAGAGGAGAGUGGAAUUCCCGGUGUAGCGGUGAAAUGCGCAGAUAUCAGGAGGAACACCGGUGGCGAAGGCGGGUCUCUGGGCCGUAACUGACGCUGAGGAGCGAAAGCAUGGGGAGCGAACAGG
rnacentral:rRNA from 1 species